AGUUGCUAAUCUUAGAUUAUCCAUUUGAGUCAUGAUUUCCUACUAUACAAAGCAGGAGUUGUUAUGGGGUAGAAGAAUUUUUAUCCCAGGAAUGACAAAGAUAAGUUGAAACACUACAGUAAAAAAUUAGAGUUAGACAUGGACAGACAGAAGGGAACAACAGACUCUAGGGCCUACUUGAGGCUGGACGGUGGGAGGAGGGGGAGGGUUGAAAAACUACCUAUCGGGUACUAUGCUUGUUACCUACAUGAUGAAAUAAUCUGUACAUCAACCCCCCCAUGACACACAAUUUACCUAUGUAACAAACCUCCAAAUGCACCCCUGAACCUAAAAUAAAAGUUUAGAAAAAUUUAGAAUUAGUUAUUGGAUUCACAAGAUAUAAAGAGAAGCCAGCCAUUGAAUACCUUGUUUGAAAAUAGGUUGACCUCAUGUUGUGUAGCAGGUCUAAAUAAUCCAUUUGUCUAAUUCACUGUGCUCUUUAUACCUAUUUUCAAAGAUAGUUUCCCAAGUUCUGAGAAGCCCUUACAAAUUAGCUGACUUUAUACUAAGAUUUGGGUUUAAAAAAAUUUUUUUUUAGACACAGGGUUUCACUCUGUCAUCCAGGUUAAAGUGCAGUGGUGUGAUAAUAGUUUACUGCAGCCUCGAACUCCUGGGCUCAACAACCCUCCCUCAGCAUCCCAUGUAGCUGGGACUGCAAGUGUGUGCCACCAUGCCUGGCUUAAUUUUUUUUUUAAAUUUCUUUUGUAGACAUGGGAUUUCACUAUGUUGCACAGCAUGGUCUUGAACUCCUGGCUUCAAGCAACCCUCCCGCCUUGGCCUCCCAAAUCCCUAGGAGGCACAAGUGUGAGCCAUUGUGCUCUGCCCUAAAAUUGGUUUUAAAUAAAAAUUUUUCCAGUAAGAAUGUAAUAGCGCAUUUUGACAAAAGGUCCCUCCCACUGCUUGAGGUACCAGCGGAAAGGUUGGGCAGCUCAGUUCCAAGAGGGCCACCAAGCAGACUACGCUCUGAGUUUCAGAUACCAGCUGCUACUCAUGUCUUCGCCAUUGCUAAGAACAUCGUUGGUAUUACCUUACUCUGAAAACGUGUCUGCAGUUUCCAGAAAAUGGAGCAUCGCAACAUCACUUAAAGUACCCUGCUUUAAAGUACUGCUGGCAAGUGGCGUGGGCCUGAUUAUUUCUUUAGGAAUGCUUUAUCAGGAG
rnacentral:lncRNA from 1 species